GGGCAGCGAGGGGGCAGCUAUGGGGCACUGUAGGGCAGCUAUGGGGCAGGCCCACGGUGUCUCCACCAGUACCAGCAUCAGGUUGCAGGCAGGGUGCAGGCAGGACAAGUUCAGGGGUGCAGGUAGAUGGCCCAGGCAGCCAGGGGGCAGCAAGGGGGUGACCGUGGGGCAGCCAUGGGGCAGCUGUGGGGCACUAUAGGGCAGCUAUGGGGCAGGCCCGCAGUUUCCCCACCAGCACCAGCAUCAGGUUGCAGGCAGGGUGCAGGCAGAGGCAGGCUGCAGGCAGGGCAAGUUCAGGGGUGCAGGCAGGUGGCCCAGGCGGCUGGGGGGCAGCGAGGGGGCGGCCGUGGGGCAGCCAUGGGGCACUAUAGGGCAGCUAUGGUGCAGGCCCGCAGUGUCCCUGCCUCAGGCAUCAGAGUGCAGGCGGGGUGCAGGCAGGGCAAGUUCAGGGGUGCAGGCAGGUGGCCCAGGCAGCCAGGGGGCAGCGAGGGGGCAGCUAUGGGGCACUGUAGGGCAGCUAUGGGGCAGGCCCACGGUGUCUCCACCAGUACCAGUAUCAGGUUGCAGGCAGGGUGCAGGCAGGACAAGUUCAGGGGUGCAGGUAGAUGGCCCAGGCAGCCAGGGGGCAGCAGGGGGAUGACCGUGGGGCAGCCAUGGGGCAGCUGUGGGGCAGCUGUGGGGCACUAUAGGGCAGCUAUGGGGCAGGCCCGCAGUUUCCCCACCAGCACCAGCAUCAGGUUGCAGGCAGGGUGCAGGCAGGGCAAGUUCAGGGAUGCAGGCAGGCAGCCCAGGCAGCCGGGGGGCAGCGAGGGGGCAGCCGUGGGGCAGCUGUGGGGCAGCUAUGGGGCACUGUAGGGCAGCUAUGGGGCAGGACAGCAGUGUCCCCACCAGCAUCAGGUUGCAGGCAGGGUGCAGGCAGAGGCAGGCUGCAGGCAGGGCAAGUUCAGGGGUGCAGGCAGGCAGCCCAGGCAGCCAGGGGGCAGCUGUGGGGCAGCCGUGGGGCAGCUGUGGGGCGGCCAUUGGCCUUGACGCCGGCGCGGGUACAACAAGAAGCAGCUGAGCCGCAUCUACCCCAAGGGCACCCGGGUGGAUUCGUCCAACUACCAGCCGCAGCUUUUCUGGAACGCCGGCUGCCACAUGGUGGCCCUCAACUUCCAGACCCUCGGUCAGCCCCACGGCCGCCCCACGGCCGCCCCACGGCUGCCCCACGGC
rnacentral:lncRNA from 1 species